rnacentral:rRNA from 1 species
GACGAACGCUGGCGGCGUGCUUAACACAUGCAAGUCGAACGGAAAGGCCCUGCUUUUGUGGGGUGCUCGAGUGGCGAACGGGUGAGUAACACGUGAGUAACCUGCCCUUGACUUUGGGAUAACUUCAGGAAACUGGGGCUAAUACCGGAUAGGAGCUCCUGCUGCAUGGUGGGGGUGGGAAAGUUUCGGCGGUUGGGGAUGGACUCGCGGCUUAUCAGCUUGUUGGUGGGGUAGUGGCUUACCAAGGCUUUGACGGGUAGCCGGCCUGAGAGGGUGACCGGCCACAUUGGGACUGAGCUACGGCCCAGACUCCUACGGGAGGCAGCAGUGGGGAAUAUUGCACAAUGGGCGGAAGCCUGAUGCAGCAACGCCGCGUGCGGGAUGACGGCCUUCGGGUUGUAAACCGCUUUCGCCUGUGACGAAGCGUGAGUGACGGUAAUGGGUAAAGAAGCACCGGCUAACUACGUG